rnacentral:rRNA from 1 species
GUUUGAAUCCGCGAGGACCAUCUCGCAAGGCUAAAUACUAACCAGUGACCGAUAGUGAACCAGUACCGUGAGGGAAAGGUGAAAAGAACCCCGGGAGGGGAGUGAAAGAGAACCUGAAACCGUGUGCCUACAAGUAGUCAGAGCCCGUUAACGGGUAAUGGCGUGCCUUUUGUAGAAUGAACCGGCGAGUUGCGUUAGUCAGCAAGGUUAAGUCAGAAAAGACGGAGCCGUAGCGAAAGCGAGUCUGAAGAGGGCGA